rnacentral:rRNA from 1 species
GGACGGGUGAGUAACGUGUGGGCAACCUGCCCUGCACUGGGGAAUAAUCAUUGGAAACGAUGACUAAUACCGCAUACGGUUCCUGGGAGGCAUCUUCCGGGAAAGAAAGGAUUUAUUCGGUGCAGGAUGGGCCCGCAUCUGAUUAGCUAGUUGGUGAGAUAACAGCCCACCAAGGCGACGAUCAGUAGCCGACCUGAGAGGGUGACCGGCCACAUUGGGACUGAGACACGGCCCAAACUCCUACGGGAGGCAGCAGUGGGGAAUAUUGCACAAUGGGCGAAAGCCUGAUGCAGCAACGCCGCGUGAAGGAAGAAGGGUUUCGGCUCGUAAACUUCUAUCAACAGGGACGAAAGAAAUGACGGUACCUGAAUAAGAAGCCCCGGCUAACUACGUGCCAGCAGCCGCGGUAAUACGUAGGGGGCAAGCGUUAUCCGGAAUUACUGGGUGUAAAGGGUGAGUAGGCGGCAUGGUAAGCCAGAUGUGAAAGCCUUGGGCUUAACCCGAGGAUUGCAUUUGGAACUAUCAAGCUAGAGUACAGGAGAGGAAAGCGGAAUUCCUAGUGUAGCGGUGAAAUGCGUAGAUAUUAGGAAGAACACCAGUGGCGAAGGCGGCUUUCUGGACUGAAACUGACGCUGAGGCACGAAAGCGUGGGGAGCGAACAGGAUUAGAUACCCUGGUAGU